GAUGAACGCUGGCGGCGUGCCUAAUACAUGCGAGUCGAGCGAACAGACGAGGAGCUUGCUCCUCUGACGUUAGCGGCGGACGGGUGAGUAACACGUGGAUAACCUACCUAUAAGACUGGGAUAACUUCGGGAAACCGGAGCUAAUACCGGAUAAUAUAUUGAACCGCAUGGUUCAAUAGUGAAAGACGGUUUUGCUGUCACUUAUAGAUGGAUCCGCGCCGCAUUAGCUAGUUGGUAAGGUAACGGCUUACCAAGGCAACGAUGCGUAGCCGACCUGAGAGGGUGAUCGGCCGCACUGGAACUGAGACACGGUCCAGACUCCUGCGGGAGGCAGCAGUAGGGAAUCUUCCGCAAUGGGCGAAAGCCUGACGGAGCAACGCCGCGUGAGUGAUGAAGGUCUUCGGAUCGUAAAACUCUGUUAUUAGGGAAGAACAAAUGUGUAAGUAACUAUGCACGUCUUGACGGUACCUAAUCAGAAAGCCACGGCUAACUACGUG
rnacentral:rRNA from 1 species